UGCUAAGGUAGCACAAUAAAUUGCCUUCCAAUUAAAGGAUAGAAUGAAAGGAUACACGUCUUAAUAACUUUAUUAAUUACUCGACACUAACUUUACCUAGGUGUAAAAAGGCACCUAUUAUAAAAAAAGACAAAAAGACCCUAUCGAACUUAAUUAAAUAAUUUAGCUGGGGUGGCUAAUAACUAAAACUUUAUAAAACAUCCAUAUACCGACCUUAUUUAAAUAAAUUGUUAGAACAAGUUACCGUAGGGAUAACAGCGUAACAGAAUUCUUAAGACCUAAUAUAAAAUCCUAACUGCGACCUCGAUGUUGAAUUAAAGUUACUUUUCAAAGCAAAAGAUGAAAAAGUAGGUCUGUUCGACCUUUAAAACUUUACAUGAUCUGAG
rnacentral:rRNA from 1 species